rnacentral:rRNA from 1 species
GACGAACGCUGGCGGCGUGCUUAACACAUGCAAGCCGAACGGAAAGGCCCUGCUUUUGUGGGGGGCUCGAGUGGCGAACGGGUGAGUAACACGGGAGUAACCUGCCCUUGACUUUGGGAUAACUUCAGGAAACUGGGGCUAAUACCGGAUAGGAGCUCCGGCUGCAUGGUGGGGGUUGGAAAGUUUCGGCGGUUGGGGAUGGACUCGCGGCUUAUCAGCUUGUUGGUGGGGUAGUGGCUUACCAAGGCUUUGACGGGUAGCCGGCCUGAGAGGGUGACCGGCCACAUUGGGACUGAGAUACGGCCCAGCCUCCUACGGGAGGCAGCAGUGGGGAAUAUUGCACAAUGGGCGGAAGCCUGAUGCAGCAACGCCGCGUGCGGGAUGACGGCCUUCGGGUUGUAAACCGCUUUCGCCUGUGACGAAGCGUGAGUGACGGUAAUGGGUAAAGAAGCACCGGCUAACUACGUG